rnacentral:lncRNA from 1 species
AUGGGAGAAAGUGAAAGUGAAAGUGAAGUCCAUGACAGAAACAAAACACAAAGUCCAGAUAGUCCUUCACGGAGGGAGGUGGCGAGCAGAGUCUCGGCCGCGCAGCCGCCAGGCCGAGACAGCACAUUCUGUGCCCAAGGGCAAGACCCGAGUCCCAGGAGGAUGGCGUCUGAAGAAGACGCCUCCAAUGGUCCAACGUAUGCUUUCCAAGCGAGCGAUGCUCCAGGAGACCAAGGAGGCGCGACGGUUGGCAACGGCAGAGGCUGCGCCAUCGCCACGGCAGGAAACGGCGACCCCCGGGCAGGGAGUCGCCCCCGGAACCAGACAGCCGAGGUGGCCGAUGACGCAGGAGGCAGCGCCAUCCCCGCCACGAAAUGCACCAACGGCGAGGCCACCCAUCAGACAGACGAGAUCCAAGCCGGCGGGCUGCCGGCACCCAGGAGCAGAACAGACGUGGAGACGUGGUCAGCGCCGGACCACCAGGAACCGAUGCAGAUGCGGCCAGCGCCGGACUGCCAGGAACCGAUGCAGAUGCGGCCAGCGCCGGACUGCCAGGAACCGAUGCAGAUGCGGCCAGCGCCGGACUGGAGGUCAGCAGGAACUGUGGCGGAAGCAGCGACAGGAACAACCUCCUCCUGGAGGUCAGCAAGAACUGCGGCGGAAGCUGCGACAGGAACAACCUCCUCCUGGAGGUCAGCAGGAACUGCGGCGGAAGCUGCGACAGGAACAACCUCCUCCUGGAGGUCAGCAGGAACUGCAGCAAAAGCUGCGACAGGAACAACCUCCUCCUGGAGGUCAGCAGGAACUGCAGCGAAAGCUGCGACAGGAACAACCUCCUCCUGGAGGUCAGCAGGAACUGCAGCGGAAGCAGCGACAGGAACAACCUCCUCCUGGAGGUCAGCAGGAACUGCAGCGGAAGCUGCGACAGGAACAACCUCCUCCUGGAGGUCAGCAGGAACUGCAGCAAAAGCUGCGACAGGAACAACCUCCUCCUGGAGGUCAGCAGGAACUGCAGCGGAAGCUGCGACAGGAACAACCUCCUCCUGGAGGUCAGCAGGAACUGCAGCGGCUUGGCCGACAGGAACGGGAACGGCCUCGACUUGGCCGACAGGAACAGAAACGGCUUCUACCGGGCCGACAGGAACAGGAACGGCCUCUACCGGGCCGACAGGAACGGCCUCUACCAGGCCGACAGAAACAGGAACGGCCUCUACCGGGCCGACAGGAACGGCCUCUACCGGGCCGACAGAAACAGGAACGGCCUCUACCGGGCCGACAGAAACAGGAACGGCCUCUACCGGGCCGACAGAAACAGGAACGGCGUCCUUACUGGAGCCGGCAUGA